GGAAGUAAAAGUCGUAACAAGGUCUCCGUUGGUGAACCAGCGGAGGGAUCAUUACCGAGUUAUUCAACUCAUCAACCCUGUGAACUUACCUAAACGUUGCUUCGGCGGGAAUAGACGGCCCUGUAAAACGGGCCGCCCCCGCCAGAGGACUCUUAACUCUGUUUCUUAUAAUGUUUCUUCUGAGUAAAACAAGCAAAUAAAUUAAAACUUUCAACAACGGAUCUCUUGGCUCUGGCAUCGAUGAAGAACGCAGCGAAAUGCGAUAAGUAAUGUGAAUUGCAGAAUUCAGUGAAUCAUCGAAUCUUUGAACGCACAUUGCGCCCGCCAGUAUUCUGGCGGGCAUGCCUGUUCGAGCGUCAUUACAACCCUCAGGCCCCCGGGCCUGGCGUUGGGGAUCGGCGGAGCGCCCCUCGUGGGCGCACGCCGUCCCCCAAAUACAGUGGCGGUCCCGCCGCAGCUUCCAUCGCGUAGUAGCUAACACCUCGCGACUGGAGAGCGGCGCGGCCACGCCGUAAAACACCCCAACUCUUCUGAAGUUGACCUCGAAUCAGGUAGGAAUACCCGCUGAACUUAAGCAUAUCAAUAAGCGGAGGA
rnacentral:misc_RNA from 1 species